CAGUCGCCGCGGGAAUACGGAGGGUGCAAGCGUUAAUCGGAAUUACUGGGCGUAAAGCGCACGCAGGCGGUCUGACAAGUCAGAUGUGAAAUCCCCGGGCUUAACCUGGGAACUGCAUUUGAAACUGUCAGGCUGGAGUCUUGUAGAGGGGGGUGGAAUUCCAGGUGUAGCGGUGAAAUGCGUAGAGAUCUGGAGGAAUACCGGUGGCGAAGGCGGCCCCCUGGACAAAGACUGACGCUCAGGUGCGAAAGCGUGGGGAGCAAACAGGAUUAGAUACCCGGGUAGUCCCUGUCUCUUAUAC
rnacentral:rRNA from 1 species